CGUGUAGGCGGCUUCUUAAGUCUGAUGUGAAAGCCCCGGGCUCAACCUGGGAAGUGCAUUGGAAACUGGGGAACUUGAAUACGGGAGAGGGUAGUGGAAUUCCUGGUGUAGGAGUGAAAUCCGUAGAUAUCAGGAGGAACACCGGUGGCGAAGGCGGCUACCUGGACCGAUAUUGACGCUGAGACGCGAAAGCGUGGGGAGCAAACAGGAUUAGAUACCCUGGUAGUCCACGCCGUAAACGAUGAGUACUAGGUGUUGCGGGUAUUGACCCCUGCAGUGCCGCAGCUAACGCAUUAAGUACUCCGCCUGGGAAGUACGGUCGCAAGACUAAA
rnacentral:rRNA from 1 species